AGAGGGGGCAAGCGUUGUUCGGAAUUACUGGGCGUAAAGGGCGCGUAGGCGGCCUGCUAAGUCGAACGUGAAAUCCCUGGGCUCAACCCAGGAACUGCGUCCGAUACUGGUUGGCUUGAAUCCGGGAGAGGGAUGUGGAAUUCCAGGUGUAGCGGUGAAAUGCGUAGAUAUCUGGAGGAACACCGGUGGCGAAGGCGACAUCCUGGACCGGUAUUGACGCUGAGGCGCGAAAGCCAGGGGAGCAAACGGGAUUAGAUACCCCGGUAGUCCUGGCCCUAAACGAUGAAUGCUUGGUGUGGCGGGUAUCGAUCCCUGCCGUGCCGAAGCUAACGCAUUAAGCAUUCCGCCUGGGGAGUACGGUCGCAAGGCUG
rnacentral:rRNA from 1 species